rnacentral:tRNA from 1 species
CAUUAAGAAGCUAUGUAACAGCAUUAGCCUUUUAAGCUAAAAAAAGAGGGACUCUCCCUCCUUAAUGA